rnacentral:tRNA from 1 species
CCGGCCGUCGGGUGGGCGGCGAAAUCUUGCUGCGCUGGCAGCGCGGCGACGGCACGCUCGUGUCGCCCGCGCAGUUCAUCCCGCUGGCCGAG